rnacentral:rRNA from 1 species
GACGAACGCUGGCGGCGUGCUUAACACAUGCAAGUCGAGCGCGUGGCGAACGGGGGAGUAAAACGUGGGUGAACUGCCUUGCACUUCGGGAUAAACUUGGGAAACUGGGUCUAAUACCGGCUAGUGCAAGCUGAGCACCCUGCCUAUCAGCUUGUUGGGGGGGGAAUGGCGCCCAAGUCGCGACGGGUAGCCGGCCUGAGAGGGUGUACGGCCACAAUGGGCCUGAGAUACGGACCAGACUCCGACGGGAGGCAGCAGUGGGGAAUCGUGCACAAUGGGCGGACGCCUGAUGCAGAGACGCCGCGUGGGGGAUGAAGGCCUUCGGGUUGUAAACUCCUUUAGACAGGGACGCGGUACCUGUAUAAGAAGCACCGGCUAACUACGUGCCAGCAGCCGCGGUAAUUC